GACGAACGCUGGCGGCGUGCUUAACACAUGCAAGUCGAACGAAGUGGCGCACGGGUGAGUAACGCGUAAUCAACCUGCCCUUCAGAGGGGGACCACAGUUGGAAACGACUGCUAAUACCGCAUACUGAAGGAGGGGUUUGCGUCUGAUUAGCUGGUUGGGGGGGUAACGGCCCACCAAGGCCAUGCUCAGUAGGCGGUCGGGAAGGGUGAACGGCCAAAAUGGGACGUGGGCACGGCCCAGGCUCCUACGGGAGGCAACCGUGGGGAAGCUUCCGCAAUGGACGAAAGUCUGACGGAGCAACGCCGCGUGAGGGAUGACGGCCUUCGGGUUGUAAAGCUCUGUUAAUCGGGACGCGGUACCGGAAUAGAAAGCCACGGCUAACUACGUGCCAGCAGCCGCGGUAAUAC
rnacentral:rRNA from 1 species